rnacentral:lncRNA from 1 species
UGUUCCUCAGACCCGUUCUUUACACAAUGAUACUUAGAGAAACAUCAAACUAAUGAAUUAUCACUCAACCCUUCCUUGUGAAAUAUAGGUACGGAAAGAUGAGGAGAAGAAGACCCCCACUAAACCAAGCAGCCUGGGAUAGUUUGCUUAGGAAAGAUGUUGACUGGAUAUUUGAGAUGCUGGAGAGACUCAUUGCUGCCCAGCAGGGCCGAGAGGAGAGGAGGGAGCUACUUGACCCUCCCCCGCUUCCACAGUUUGAGCCACCACUACAGUGAGAGGAUCCCGAGCCACCUCGUUACGACCCUACUCCUCCAUAGUGCCACCCGGCACCAUCGCAAUAU